rnacentral:rRNA from 1 species
CGGGAGGCAGCAGUGGGGAAUAUUGGACAAUGGGGGGAACCCUGAUCUAGCCAUGCCGCGUGUGUGAAGAAGGCCUUAUGGUUGUAAAGCACUUUAAGCGAGGAGGAGGCUACUGAGACUAAUACUCUUGGAUAGUGGACGUUACUCGCAGAAUAAGCACCGGCUAACUCUGUGCCAGCAGCCGCGGU